GAGGGUAUGGCUCAGUGGUAGAGCACAUGCUUAGCAUGCACAAGGCCCUGGGUUCAAUCCCCAGUACCUCCA
rnacentral:tRNA from 1 species